CUGAGGUGGGAGCAUCGCUUGAGGCCAGGAGCUGAAGACCAGACUGGGCAGUAUAGUGAGAUCCCAUCUCUAAAAAAAUAAUAAAAAUAAAAAAUAAAAUAUUAGAAGUUCAGUUUCUGUAUUUUCUGGGGAUUUUGAGGAUAUUAAAUUCAUAUAAGCACUUAUCAGCCAUUCAGGACAAAGUUCCUUUGCUGUAAGAAACUUUGCAAUCUAAUUUAUCAAUACAUUGUUGAUGUAAGAAAAGAUUUCAGACACCAGGAGAGGUAAAGGCUUUUCUCGCUGGAGGCUCCCAGACCCGCUGAGUGCGUGUGGCUUGUGUGAUGCGUCCUCAGCCAACCCAGAAGCACCACUCAUGGGUCCACAUCCUAAAACCUGUUCUCUUUUCCAGGGGGCGCAAUCCAUUCUUUUGAUGGAGUUGAGCUCGCAGGAGGACAGGAGGAAAAGAACAAGCCGGAUUUUCUGUCCUCUCUCCGUGGAGAAUGGACCCCUCCUGCCCCAGGAGAGACAGAUCCCCCCAGGGCAGACCGGAAAACCCGACUGUCAGUCAUUGCUGAGAGGACUUGCACCUUGGACGGGGCCAAACCAGAGCCAGAACCGAGGCAGGCGCCACAGCAGGAAGGAACACAGCAGCGCGGGGAGUCAGCAAGGGAAAGGGCUUGUGCCAUGUGGGGUCCGCCGUGGGCUGAGACUCAGUGUCCGCAGCAGGUUCAGCGACCUCGAGGCCCGGCCGGCAGGUGGAGUUCUGUAGCUUUGCUGGGGGAGUCGCAGAGGCAUCUUGGCGGGACCCCCAAAACCUUCAAACAAAUUUGCAAAAAGAUGAAACAUAACUUUCUACAAAUAUAGAGUGAACACGUGUCCUGGAUUUAGUGAGCUCGUUAGCGAAGAGCCAGAAGGAGGCUGCAGCUCGCGCCCAUGUUCCUCGUCUGAAAUAUCUUUCUGGUGGGCUGAGCUGCGUCUGAGAGUUUACACAAGAAGUCACACUGACUGUUCCUACAAGGUGGCAGAACAUUCCAGAACUCCUUGACCACGUUCUCCACAUGGGCCUGUGACAGUGAAACAGCUAAAGAACGGACACAACUAGCUCCAUUUUUGUUGAAGGGGCCUCUACCCACUCCUGCACGUAGGCCAGGAUAAUUUUAGAGCACUGAGAUAAAACACAAAAACAGCAAUCAUGCAGUUUUUGAAACUAACUCUGGGAUUAAAAGGGAAGUAUGUAAACAGCUAACUAUGUUUUGUUAAGGAUUUAUAGAGACGGGGAGGUUUAGCUACCGUCACGUGAGAGACCAUUAUGCACGGACAAAGAAGUUUUGCAAACUUCCCCCAGACGCUGGUUGGAGCCCAGACAAUUGCGAUUGUCAGUCGCCUUCUUUCCCUCUCACAUAGAAGACAAGCAAGGCAAAGCCCGCAUAAUUCCGAGAUGGAUCUCUGGGACGUUAGUUUCCACCAUCUUCUCAAUUUUCUGACUCUCUGAGAUAAAGUCUCCUUCCUUGCCCCAACUCCGUGUCUCUCGAUUAUUGGCUGCCGUGUGGCCAGCAGAGCAAGUCUGGACUCAGUCACGGCCUCCCCAUGCACCUGACCUCAGUUAGAAAUGAAAGGGUUCCACCGUCCCUCAUGGCUGCGCCUGCAGGAACAGCGCGUGGAGGAACCAGCUGGCUUUGGAUCCUGCUCUCUGAAGCCUGCUGCAUUCUGAGGGUCCAUUUGGAAGAGGAUGCAAAGCCUGCGUUGUCGGUGGUGUCGCCCAUUUCCAGGCAUGUGAGGCCAUCGUCCAACAGAAGCACAUACGGGGAGCCUCUGGCAGUGGGAAAGAGCCACAGUGAAGCCUGCCCUGCUUUUUCACAGAGAAAUGUUAAGAACCCAAUAAAGAUCCUCCAAGUCGAAGUAUUCGUAAGACGGGAAGUGCUCUCAAAACCCAGGGCUGAGGUCAGUGGAGCUGCGAGAGAGGGGGCAGGUAGACCCAAGCAACUGGAAAAUGGGAAAACGUCACUGUACUAACAUAAAAGCCAGCGUGUGGAUACAUAGAGAAAAAUGAAUGUAUUUAUACAUGAGGUAAUUUUAUCCUCAGAGGCUUUAGCUGAGGCUGCAGGGAGAAGGGGACUUGUUUCAGAGGAACAGUGUCCGUCUCUAAGGGCCACCUGCGCCUCAGCCUCAGCCGGCGCCCAAGGGCACUUUGAGCCCUGGAGAGGUGGCCCCUCAGCCACCCACCCUCCCACAGGCAACAGUCACAAACUCGGGACACAAAAAUAAAAAACAACUGUGGGGAGCGCCGGAGGGAGCCCUGAGGAGGCUGACCCUGGACGGAGCCCACACCUGAGGGAAGGGGUGGCAGGGCCAGCCGCCUUCUUUCUGCUGCUUUUCCCUAGAGGACGGCCUCAGUCCAAGCCAAGCAGAGGCAGCAAGAAUCUGGACUAAAAGCCUGCAACUUACUGCCUCGAAGAGCCAAAGAACAGAAUUUGGGCAGCUCAGAAAUCUAGGAAAGGAGAAAGCCAGAGAAGGGGAGUCCUACCUUCCGUGGUCAUCUCAAUCUCCCGACACGAAUAGUCAGCACAGCCCUUACGCUAGUCACCGUUGUAAUCCUAGGCUUGACUUACGAGGCCCCAGCUGGGCUGAAAGCAAAGUUGAGCAAAAUCGUCAGUCAGCCUCCCGACUGCCAUACCUCACGAGUUUUAAAAAUCACGUUGUGAGCCUGAGUCAGUCCUUCAAGGCAGAUCCUGAGUGGCUGACUGGUCUUAAAUUCAAAAUAGAGCCACGGGGCCAUUGGCUGGAAAACCCACAUGCUUGUGGAACUUCGGGAUCUGCUCCUGUUCCCACGCCACCCGAAUCAACAGCUGCCAGGAAAUCCCAUGUCACCUCCUGGACCUUAACCCACAGACGGUACCUACGUUGACCAGUCAUGACUAAACAAGCACUGGCCAAUCAAAACUAAGCAAGCGUGCAUCCCUCAUUUGAAUAAGCAGACCAGAGUGGGAACCGGGGUGGAAACCGUCUGUACAAGACGAUGCUUCUCCCGGUUUUCUUGGCGCACACCGAUGUUUUGUACCAAAGGCUGUGUUUCUCCAGCUGGCAAACUGCUUGCUAGAAUGAAGUCUCUCUUUUUUUUUUUUUUUUUAAGAAAAUCCUUUUUUGUAAACUUUUUGACAAUAUCUACAUGGCCUAGCAGCGUAUCAUGAUGUGGUGAUGUUAUUUAUUCUGAAAUUAUGCUGAGAGAAACUGGUUAUUGGCAGAAAUUGAGUAUAUAUACACAUAGUGAAACGGUGACUGUAGUCAAACAAAUUAACAUAUCCAUCAUCUGACAUAGUUACCCAUUUGUUGUGUGGCAAGAACACCUAAAAUCUACUUUUUCAGCCAAAAUCCCCAAUACCGUGAGGUCUUAUUCCUCUAGCCCUCAUGCUGCCCUCCGGACUGGCCUCCUCCUUACCUGCUUUGUCUCCCAUUUCUUCCCCGGCCCUGGGAACCACCAUGUUAUUCUCUAUCUCUGUGCAUUCAACGUGUGAGGACACAGAGGCCACAAGAGGCUGAGUGACCUGCGGGGUUGCUGGGUGAAGACGCCAGGAUUUGGACUCAGGCCCUGACAGGGUUCCCGGGCCCUAGGAGAUGGGAUUUUGUCCUAAGCACGGAUGUUGAAAGACAGUUUCUACAUCUGUAUUAGGUUUGAACGGCCAGGUCCAACUGACAUGCGGAUUUUCACUGGCCUCUGCUACCUCUGAGACAGCAAGACCAACCCCUCCUCUUCCUCUUCUCCUCCUCAGCCCACUCAAUGUGAAGACGAAGACGAUGAAGACCUUCAUGAUGGUCCACUUCCAUUUAAUGAAUAGAACCUACAGAACCUGUUCAGGGAGAUAGAAAGAAAAACGGGACACAGACAGUUCCUGCCAUGAGGACUUUCUGUCUACUGGAGGCACACCUCAGAAUUCGGACAAUUCUAUGCAAAGUGGAAAGCGUGAAGUGAAUGACAGAGUACCAGGAUGCAGACAGCGUUAACCUCCACUUGAGAGGCUGGGGACAGUGUCAUGUUGGACAAGACAGCCGAGUUCGUCCUUGGCCCCUGGGUGGCUGCCUCUUGCUGUUCCUGGCAUAGGUUAGUGGCUAGGAGCCAAACUGUCUGGGCUGGCAUCUUGCCUCCCUCCUCACUGCCUGUGUAACUGUGGGCAGGGCGCUUGACCUCGAGCCUCCAUUUCUCUUCUGUAAGAAUGAAGGAGUAACAGCGCCUAGCUCGUGGAGGUGGGGAGGGCUGCCUGAAACACACAUACAGAGAGUUCAGAACGCGUGCGGCCUUGAGGGCAUGUGGAUAAAUGGCUACUUUGCUAUCACCCACAGGUAGAAGAUGCUUCAUAUGCAUUCAUUGACUGGGUAUGAACGUGGAGAACCCGGCUAGCCAUCCAGUGGGAGCGAAUGGAAUAUUUAACUUGGGGCCGAGUUGGGCCUACACAGAAGACAGGUUGCGUGCGUCGUGUGGAGCUGGGGAGGAAGGCUGUGGCUGCAGAUGCAAUUCUGCAGGGUUACUGGUGAGGAUGGGACAGGGUGAGCCUCGGGGAUUCAGGUGGCCAAGUCAAGUCAGGUGAGAAGAGAAUACGGGACGGGGCGACAGGCUCUGCUCUUCUGGGAGUUAAGAAGGUCCAGCAAGGGCUGAUACUGUCCAGGUGGGUUCUCUGGGAAGCGGCUCUGAAACAGGCUGGUGCUCAGCAAGGGGAAGAGCGCUGUGGGCCGGGGACGCUGGGCCACCUGCCAUCCCCACGGUGGCCUCCACCCAUCCCUGCAGAGUGCCGUGGUGUGGAUGGCCUUCAGAAUUAUCCUGGCCAUGGUGAGGGGGCCUGGCCCUCACACUGCCAAGACAACAGAUGGUUGGAUGGGGGCUGUCCCCAGAAGGAGGGGUGAUGGGGGAGUGAGGCCCUCUCUCCUGAGGGCGAGCCUGGUGUGCACUGAACAUCUUUCACAUGGGAAUGUGGCUGACUGCUGUGGGGUCUCCAGGAGGGGUGAAGGCAGGAGAAGGGCCUGGCAGUGAGGAGCAUGAGGGUCUAGGAGCAAUUGGCCAUGGAGUUUAGGGAUCUAAGCCUUUGGUGAUGCCCGGGAGACUGGGAGCAUGCGAGGACAUUUCCUUGUCAGUACACGAGGUGAGGAGGUGGAGGCAGAACUGUGAAGGGCCUGCGGCAAGGAGCCACGUGGCCCAGGGAGGCCUGGCUGGUGGAGUAAGAAUUGGUGGGGGGGCUUGCUGGGACCGGCACGCCAGGCUGCGCUGCCCUCACUUGGGGGGUGAGGCUUUUGCCCUGAGGCUUCUCUGUGCGGCCGGAAGGUGCACCCAGGCCUGCGCUUCCUGGAGCUGCAACCUCUCCCUGCAGCUUAGGUGUCCGGGCUCCGUGCCUGGAUCAAGGUGAGAUCCUUGGCACUGGGAACAUAGUCUGUGCUGGGGCUGGAUUCUGAGCAGCAGGGACUGGGCCUAAUUGGCUUCCCUGUUGCUUUCCAGAGCCCUCAAGGGCAGGGUGUCAGGCAUCCAGGAAAAGAGAAGGCACUUCCACCGACUGGAGAGCCUGCAGCGCCACAACAGAGAGCCAAGGGGGCCUUCAGGACUCAAACAGAGGCAAACGUGGAUCCCUUAACUGCUCGCUGGAGAAUCCAAAGGCUUCGCUCACAGCAGAGAAGUCUGUGCGUAGCUGGGCUGAGCUUUGGCGCCACAGUCCCGUGUCUGAAGCCUGGAGCGGCCUGAGGGCACUUCUGAUCUCCUCACAGGCCUCAGUUUCCUCUUCAGUGAAACCAGGGUGGAUAAGAAUGGUGCCACCUGCAGAGAUGUUGGGCUCAGAGAUGAGCAAGAUCAUGGAAGCAGAGCAUUAGCCCCUACACUGUUGGGUGCGUGUUUGCUGCUGUUACAACGGUUGCAGGAACAUUGGAGGAUAAACCAAAAUCUGCCCGGGAGGGAAGGGACAGAGUGAAGAGGACGAGGAUGUGAGAUGGAGGCUUCUUUCAAUAGAGCGUGCAAUAGGAUUUUGACUUUGGGGUCAGGUAAGUACCAUAUAUUUUUUUAAAAUACUAAAGGCAAGAACAAUUCUUAAAAAUUAAAAAGAAACUGAAAUGAAUGAACCUGUAUGGUUGUUGACACAUGCACCCAGAGAAAAUGGCUAUUUUAAGAGACUUUAAAACACAGUAUUUACACCACCCAUCCUUAAUGGAAACUCUUCUGGACAGCAGCAGACCUGCAAAGAGAUAGAGCUUUAACCUUAUUCAGUAGUCUUGUCAUUCAUAGGAACAUGGGAUUGCUAACUGCUAAACCAUUGCAUAUAUAAUAGAUAAACCAUUUUAGAUAUAAAGCAUAUAAUAUAAAUGCAUGGGUGGCCGGGCACGGUGGCUCAAUCCCAGCACUUUGGGAGGCCGAGGUGGGAGGAUCAUGAGGUCA